rnacentral:rRNA from 1 species
UAGGGAAUAUUGGGCAAUGGAGGGAACUCUGACCCAGCCAUGCCGCGUGCAGGAUGAAGGCGUUAUGCGUUGUAAACUGCUUUUUAUAUAGGAAGAAAUAGUCCUUGCGAGGAAAGUUGACGGUACUAUAUGAAUAAGCACCGGCUAACUCCGUGCCAGCAGCCGCGGUAAUACGGAGGGUGCAAGCGUUGUCCGGAUUUAUUGGGUUUAAAGGGUGCGUAGGCGGUUUAUUAAGUCAGUGGUGAAAGACGGUCGCUCAACGAUUGCAGUGCCAUUGAUACUGGUAGACUUGAGUAUGAUUGAGGUAGCUGGAAUGGAUAGUGUAGCGGUGAAAUGCAUAGAUAUUAUCCAGAACACCAAUUGCGUAGGCAAGUUACUAAGUCAUAACUGACGCUGAGGCACGAAAGCUGGGGAGCAAACAGGAUUAGAUACCCUUGUAGUCCCUGAGCGGGCUGGCAAGGCGCAU